rnacentral:rRNA from 1 species
GAUGAACGCUGGCGGCGUGCCUAAUACAUGCAAGUCGAGCGAACAAACGAGGAGCUUGCUCCUCUGACGUUAGCGGCGGACGGGUGAGUAACACGUGGAUAACCUACCUAUAAGACUGGGAUAACUUCGGGAAACCGGAGCUAAUACCGGAUAAUAUAUUGAACCGCAUGGUUCAAUAGUGAAAGACGGUUUUGCUGUCACUUAUAGAUGGAUCCGCGCCGCAUUAGCUAGUUGGUAAGGUAACGGCUUACCAAGGCAACGAUGCGUAGCCGACCUGAGAGGGUGCGCGGACACAGUGAAACAGCAACCCGGCCAAGACACAGCCGGGUGCCGGCAGUAGGCGAUAAACCGUUAUGCGCGAACGCAUGACUGAGCAGCGUCGCGUGAGUGAUGAAAGUCUUCGGAUCGUAAACCUCUGUAAUGCGGAAAGAACAAAUGUGCAAGUACAAACGCAGGACCAGCGGUAUCGUAAUAAGAAAACCGGCGCUACUGCAG